rnacentral:lncRNA from 1 species
UGCCUUUGUGCUUUCUUUAUUGUUUCUAUUUCCAUUUUCAAUUCCUUUACCUGUUUGAUUGUGUUUUCCUAUAAUUCUUUCAGGGAUUUUUGUGUUUCCUCUCUAAGGGUUUCUACUUGUUUACUUGUGUUUCCCUGCAUUUCUCUAAGGGAGUUCUUCACGUCUUUCUUGAAGUCCUCCAGCAUCAUGAUCAAAUAUGAUUUUGAAACUAGAUCUUGCUUUUCUGGUGUGUUUGGAUAUUCAGUGUUUGCUUUGGUGGGAGAAUUGGGCUCUGAUGAUGCCUUGUAGUCUUUGGUUUCUGUUGCUUGAGUUCCUGCGCUUGCCUCUCACCAUCAGGUUGUCUCUGGUGUUACCUUGUUCUGCUAUUUCUGACAGUGGCUGGACCGUCCUAUAGGCCUGUGUGUCAGGAGUGCUGUAGACAUGUUUUCCUGUUUUCUUUCAGCCAGUUAUAGGAACAGAGUGUUCUGCUUUCAGGCGUGUAGUCGUUCCUGUCUACUGGUCUUCAGCUGUUCCUGUGAGCGUGUGUCCUGCCACCACCAGACAGGUCACUUGGAGCUGAAAAGUUGGUCUUACCUCUGGUCUCAGGCCUGAAGUUGCUCCUCAGAGCUAGGUUUCAUCUCUCUGUAAGGGCAGCAACCAGAAAAGCCUGCCCUUACUUCUGGGUCCCUGUCCACAGGGGGCCCAGAUGGCGCUAGGCGUUUUUCUCUAUGCGUCUGCCCCUCUGAAGGUCUAGUUCUCCCUCCCACGGGAUUUGGGUGCAGGGAGCUGUUUGACCGGGUCCC